CAGUCGCCACGGGAAUACGAAGGGGGCUAGCGUUGUUCGGAAUUACUGGGCGUAAAGCGCACGUAGGCGGAUAUUUAAGUCAGGGGUGAAAUCCCAGAGCUCAACUCUGGAACUGCCUUUGAUACUGGGUAUCUUGAGUAUGGAAGAGGUGAGUGGAAUUCCGAGUGUAGAGGUGAAAUUCGUAGAUAUUCGGAGGAACACCAGUGGCGAAGGCGGCUCACUGGUCCAUUACUGACGCUGAGGUGCGAAAGCGUGGGGAGCAAACAGGAUUAGAUACCCGAGUAGUCCCUGUCUCUUAUAC
rnacentral:rRNA from 1 species